rnacentral:tRNA from 1 species
GUUUUAAUAGUUUAAAGAAAACUUUGGUCUUGUAAACCAAGAUUGAAAAUAUUAUUUCUUAAAACU